rnacentral:rRNA from 1 species
GGGUCAGUAGGUUGGUCGUGCCACCGGUACGUACUGGUCUCACUGAUUCCUCCUUCCUGAAGAACCGUAAUGCCAUCAAUUUGGUGUUGCGGGGAAACAGGACUGUUACUUUGAAAAAAUUAGAGUGUUUAAAGCAAGCUAACGCUUGAAUACAUUAGCAUGGAAUAAUGAAAUAGGACGAUCGAUCCUAUUUUGCUGGUUUCUAGGAUUGACGUA